AUCAACAUUCUCUAAGCCACUGAAAAGUCAAGGUGCCAUGAGGAGUGCACUGUCUCUAGCAGAGAGCUCACUAAGGCUACCAGGUUGUAGGCAGUACUGGGGCUGGUAGGCCUACUACCCCCUCUGAUAAUGGAAGACAGACACCACGGAAACUGGUGAGCCAGGCAGAAGGAAGAGGAUGAGAAACAGCCUACUGAAUGGCAGAAAGGCUCACCUGUCCAAAGAAGGCCACCCGGAAGUAGGUCCCCAGGAGCCUGCGGCCCGAGUGCAUGACCUCCGUCACUUUGCUGUAUGCACGGUGCAGCGUGUCAUACAGAUGGGCUAGUCUCUGGAAAGCAGAACAGAACACAUUUCUUCCUAUUUGCAAAUAACAGAAUAAAAUUUAACAUAGUAAA